rnacentral:rRNA from 1 species
AUCUACAGCCAUACCAGCCUGAAUGCGCCCAAUCCUUUUGGUCUCUGAAGUUAGGCAGGGUCUGGCCUCUGUGGUACAUAAACCACAGGAACUUAGUGAACAAUUAGAUUGAGCUCAGGAAACCUAUUACUGUAGAGG